rnacentral:rRNA from 1 species
GUGAGGGAAAGGUGAAAAGAACCCCGGGAGGGGAGUGAAAUAGUACCUGAAACCGUAUGUCUACAAGCAGUCGGAGCGAAAGCGACGGCGUGCCUAUUGAAGAAUGAACCAACGAGUUAUCUGCACUAGCGAGGUUAAGUGGAAGACACGGAGCCGUAGCGAAAGCGAGUCUGAAAAGGGCGGAUAGUUAGUGUAGGUAGACCCGAAACCGCAGUGAUCUACCCAUGUCCAGGUUGAAGCGCAGGUAAAAAUGCGUGGAGGACCGAACCGGUGAGCGUUGAAAAGCUUUCGGAUGAGAUGUGGGUAGGGGUGAAAUUCCAAUCGAACGCGGAGAUAGCUGGUUCUCCCCGAAAUAGCUUUAGGGCUAGCCUCAGGUAGUAAGUAUAGGCGGUAGAGCACUGAUCGGGCUAGGGGCCAUAAAGGUUACCGAACCCUGUCAAACUCCGAAUGGAUAUACUGCAGAGCCUGGGAGUCAGACUACGAGUGAUAAGAUCCGUGGUCAAAAGGGAAACAGCCCAGACCACCGGCUAAGGUCCCAAAUGCCGUACUAAGUGGAAAAGGAUGUGGGGAUUCAUAAACAACCAGGAUGUUGGCUCAGAAGCAGCCACCAUUUAAAGAGUGCGUAAUAGCUCACUGGUCGAGAGUCCCUGCGCCGAAAAUUUCCGGGGCUAAAGUACGGAACCGAAGCCGUGGCUGUGCAUGUAAGUGCACGGGGUAGGGGAGCGUUGCCACAGGGGUGAAGCUGGUCUGGAAGGACUGGUGGACUUGUGGGAAGUGAGAAUGUUGGUAUGAGUAGCGAAAAGAAAGGUGAGAAUCCUUUCCACCGAAAGCAUAAGGAUUCCUGAGCAACGAUCGUCGUCUCAGGGUAAGUCGGGACCUAAUCCGAGGCAAAGAGCGUAGGAGAUGGACAACAGGUUGAUAUUCCUGUACCGGCAGCAAUUGUUUGAGCGAAGGAGUGACACAGAAGGGCAGGCAGGCGCGAGACUGGAUUGUCGCGUGCAAGCGUGUAGGGUAGUGUACAGGCAAAUCCGUACACUGAAAGCCUGAGGCGUUACGCGGAGCGAGCAGAGAUGCGAGCGAAGCUGCUGAUCCCACACUGUCGAGAAAAGCUUCUAGUGAGAGAGCUGCCGCCCGUACCGUAAACCGACACAGGUAUGCGGGGAGAGAAUCCUAAGGUGCGCGGGAGAACCCUCGUUAAGGAACUCGGCAAAAUGUACCCGUAACUUCGGGAUAAGGGUAGCCGUCUUGGUGAAGGAGCUUGCCUCUGGAGCUGAAGGCGGUCGCAGAGAAGAGGCCCAAGCGACUGUUUACCACAAACACAGGUGCCUGCUAAAGCGAAAGCUGACGUAUAGGUGCUGACACCUGCCCAGUGCUGGAAGGUUAAGGAAGGAUGUCCGGGCAACCAAAGCAUUCGACCGAAGCCCCAGUGAACGGCGGCCGUAACUAUAACGGUCCUAAGGUAGCGAAAUUCCUUGUCGGGUAAGUUCCGACCCGCACGAAAGGUGUAACGAUUUGGGCACUGUCUCAACGAGGGACCCGGUGAAAUUGAAAUACCUGUGAAGAUGCAGGUUACCCGCGACUGGACAGAAAGACCCCAUGGAGCUUUACUGUAACCUGACAUUGGGUUUUGUUGUAUUACGUACAGGAUAGGUGGGAGGCUUGGAAGGCUGGACGCUAGUCUGGCUGGAGCCGGCGUUGGGAUACCACCCUUGAUACAACGGAAUUCUAACCGAGAGAGUAACGAAAUCCGGGACAGUGUCAGGCGGGCAGUUUGACUGGGGCGGUCGCCUCCGAAAGAGUAACGGAGGCGCCCAAAGGUUCCCUCAGCGCGGCCGGAAAUCGCGCGAAGAGUGUAAAGGCAGAAGGGAGCUUGACUGCGAGCCAAACACGGCGAGCAGGUACGAAAGUAGGGCUUAGUGAUCCGGUGGUACCGAGUGGAAGGGCCAUCGCUCAACGGAUAAAAGCUACCCUGGGGAUAACAGGCUAAUCUCUCCCAAGAGUCCAUAUCGACGGGGAGGUUUGGCACCUCGAUGU